AGAGUUUGAUCCUGGCUCAGAACGAACGCUGGCGGCGUGGAUAAGACAUGCAAGUCGAACGAGACUUUUCGUUGUAGCAAUACGAUGGAAAGUUUAGUGGCGAACGGGUGCUUAACACGUGGGCAACCUGCCAUGAAGUGGGGGAUAGCUCGCCGAAAGGCGAAUUAAUACCGCAUGUGAUUAGAGAGGACAUCCUUUCAAAAUUAAAGUCGGGGCAACCUGACGCUUCUUGUGGGGCCCGCGGCCUAUCAGCUAGUUGGUGAGGUAACGGCUCACCAAGGCUUUGACGGGUAGCUGGUCUGAGAGGACGACCAGCCACACUGGGACUGAGACACGGCCCAGACACCUACGGGUGGCAGCAGUCGAGAAUUUUUGACAAUGGGGGAAACCCUGAUCGAGCGACGCCGCGUGGAGGAUGAAGGUCUUCGGAUUGUAAACUCCUGUCAUUUGGGAACAAGGUGCAUACGUUAACUGCGUGCGCAUUGAUAGUACCAGAAGAGGAAGAGACGGCUAACUCUGUGCCAGCAGCCGCGGUAAUACAGAGGUCUCAAGCGUUGUUCGGAUUCAUUGGGCGUAAAGGGUGCGUAGGCGGCGCGGUAAGUCGGGUGUGAAAUCUCGGAGCUUAACUCCGAAACUGCAUUCGAUACUGCCGUGCUUGAGGACUGGAGAGGAGACUGGAAUUUACGGUGUAGCGGUGAAAUGCGUAGAUAUCGUAAGGAAGACCAGUGGCGAAGGCGGGUCUCUGGACAGUUCCUGACGCUGAGGCACGAAGGUCAGGGGAGCAAACGGGAUUAGAUACCCCCGUAGUCC
rnacentral:rRNA from 1 species